CUUAUCCACAAAUGCAGAUACUUUUUUCCACUAAGCCCCUGUUUGGUGGCCAUUUUUUUGGGAAAAACAUUGUUUAAAAAUCAAUCAAGUAGGGGUAUAGCUUGAGCUACUUUCCCCACCACGAGAAAGUCCAUCCACUCAUAAAGAGGGAAAAAACUUAAAGCUUGACAUAAGACGCUAGUAGAGAAACAAGACACCCAAUUUCACUUGAUUGAUCAGUAUGAUCCAUAAAGAUAAUACUUAGUUUUCUAGUCAAGUAACAAACUGAAGCCAAUAAUUUUCCACAAUGAUUAAAAUUUAUAGAAGGCCCCAGGGUUGGAUGAGGAUAUCUUCAUACCAUUUACUGACCAUUCCAAAGACUACAUCAGCUGAAAGUAAAGAAUUGAAAUUCACGCUAUGAUUGUACAAAAGAAAAACAGAUAUAACAAAGUAAAUUUUUUUUAAAAUAUGUACAUACAGCAUACUACCCAUGUGAUACCUAAAUUAUAAGGUUAAAAACACUUCAAGAAUAUUGUGUUAAUACUUUUAGAAGUUUGUCGUUGAUCCUUACCAUUCAAACAUUCAAAUUAGAAUUGCAGCAGCUAAAAUGUAUAUUGCAUUAUUACUUGCUCAUGUCCUAACCAUUCAAACUCUCAUAUUUCCAUUAGCCUAACACAUCUGCUUGCUUAGGUAGUGCCGUAGUGACAAACUAAAAAAAGAGAUUGGAUUCAUAGUUCGCAAUGAAAUUGAUCCACAGUUCCACACGGCCCACACCCCACAUCCACAAAAAGGUAAUUUUGGCAAGGACCCUAGGGCUUGAAGGCAAAGGGAAAGAGGUCAAUCUAAAGACAAAUGAAAGUGAUGAAAAUGAGGCCAAACUGAAUGGUAAUGGCCGAAUGGACAGUGGAUUGACC
rnacentral:lncRNA from 1 species